GCCGCAGCAUGCGUUGCUGUAAGGAAAGUGUACCUGGCGCUAAACCAACUGAUGAAUAAAUUCAUCAUGUUCCCUGGCCAUGUCCCAGUCGAUGAGAUCAAAGAGGGAUUUUAUGCAAUUGCAGGUAAUUCAGUAAUUCAGUAUUUUACCAUUUCAUGAAAAUGCAUUCCUAUCACUAUUCAUUACGGAGCUUAUCAUUAUGCAGAGUUUCCUAAUGUCAUUGGGGCAGUGGACUGCACCCAUAUCCGCUUGAAAAGGCCCUCUGGGCCAAACGAGGCCGAUUUUGUCAAUAGAAAGGGCUUUCACAGCCUUAAUGUGCAGAUGAUCUGUGACUCCACCUGCCUCAUAACCAAUGUUGAGGCCAAGUGGCCGGGCUCUGUCCACGACUCCCGGAUAUUCAGAGAGUCUACACUGUGCCACAGCUUCGAGCAAGGUAUAGCAAAUCUCAUGUCAUUCAGAAAUUGAUUAUUUUAUGUAGAGGUGAUCCAACAUUGUUCAUAUCAUAUACUAGGUAACUAUGAUGGGCUCCUAAUGGGAGACAGGGGUUACGCCUGCAGGCCCUGGUUCAUGACCCCCUAUCCCGAGCCAGCCCCAGGCCCUGAAGUGAGGUUCAACGGUGCUCUCGCUCGAACGAGGGCACGAAUAGAAAUGACCUUUGGCCUACUAAAGGCCAGAUUUAAUUGUCUGCGGGGGCUGAGGGUGGCACCGGACAGGGCCUGUGCGAUAACGGUGGCCUGUGCAGUGCUCCACAAUGUGGCCACACUCAGGAGGGAGAGGGUCCCAGUGAUCGUGGCCUAUCCUGAGGACGAUCUGGAACCUGUCCAGCCUGAUGAGCGGUCCGGACCGGCUGCAAGGGACAUAAUUGCCCAUCAUCAUUUCAGAUAGGUGUCCAGAUGACUUUGGCCAUCAUCGAGUCCAUCCCAAAUCAUCAAUCAAUGACCGUCUGGUUUGCUGCCUCCACUGCCAAGGACCAAGGCAGACUGCAGCAGAUCAUUUGGUCAGCCGAGAAGGCCAUCGGCUGCGACCUGCCGUGCCACCCUGACCCGUUUCACUCCAGGACCAGCAAGAGAGCAGGCAGGAUCAUUGCUGACCCUUCCCAUCCUGGCCACCACCUCUUCCCAUCCAGCAAAAGGGUCCGGUCCAUUAAAACCAAAACCUGGCGCCACCUGACCAGUUUCUUCCCCACGGCAGUGGGGCUCACAAACAAGCCCCCUGCACCACACUGACUCCGGGAC